CACGUAGUUAGCCGGUGCUUCUUCUGCAGGUACCGUCACUUUCGCUUCUUCCCCACUGAAAGAGGUUUACAACCCGAAGGCCGUCAUCCCUCACGCGGCGUCGCUGCAUCAGGCUUUCGCCCAUUGUGCAAUAUUCCCCACUGCUGCCUCCCGUAGGAGUCUGGGCCGUGUCUCAGUCCCAGUGUGGCCGGUCACCCUCUCAGGCCGGCUACCCGUCGUCGCCUUGGUGAGCCAUUACCUCACCAACAAGCUGAUAGGCCGCGAGUCCAUCCAUGACCGAUAAAUCUUUCCAACAACCACCAUGCGGUGGACGUUCCUAUCCGGUAUUAGACCCAGUUUCCCAGGCUUAUCCCAGAGUCAAGGGCAGGUUACUCACGUGUUACUCACCCGUUCGCCACUAAUCCACCCAGCAAGCUGGGCUUCAUCGUUCGACUUGCAUGUGUUAAGCACGCCGCCAGCGUUCAUCCUGAGCCAGGAUACAAACUCU
rnacentral:rRNA from 1 species